rnacentral:lncRNA from 1 species
UUAUUUCUGUGUAAGGGGGGUUUAUGCAAGUUGUGUAUUUGGGCCCUAUAUAUAGGGAACUAUUUUCAUGAUUAGGGUUUAAUGAAGAAUUAAGAAUUUCUUUCCCCCACGUUUUCCUCUUCUUCUCUUCUCCUCCCUUCUCUUUCUUCUCUUCUUCUUCCUCCUUCUCUUCCCCUCUUCUUCUGCUUCCAUUUUAAAUUUGGUCCGGCAUCAC